AACUCUCUAGCGUCUCUGCUUCUCUCUCAGUAAAGGAGCCCUUCAGGUUCAUCGCACAACUCCUUCAAUUCUCUCGGUUCUAGCUCUUUCUCCUCUCUUUCUCUGCAUCACUCUUUGUUUGAUGCAGUAGCUGUAGUUUCUCAUCUCUUUCACCUUACUUCUCUUAAUUAGUUAGAAACACUCUCUCGGGUUGGCUUUGACAAGAAGGAAAUCAGGAGCCUUUUGGUUAUCAUUUCUGUGAAUACUUUUUGAAGCAGGAAAGAACUACAGGGGCAAGCCAAAACCAACUCCUGACAAGAUGUUGGAUCAAAGUAGAAAAUCACCAGCAGCAGAGGGGUAAUUCGAUUCUCAUUAUGCGUGAUGUGGUGAAAAUGAUUAAUUCGACUAGAUUUGCCUUGCCUGCAUCAAGAUUCAGAAGAUAUCAUUGUCAUGGAUGCUAUCUCCAUGCAUGGAUCGGAAUUGGCUUCAAUCUUUGAAGACAUCUUCCUCAAUUUCUCUCAUGGCUUAAAGGUGCCAGCCAUAAAAGUGACCUUUAGGAAAAGUGCCCAAGGAUCAUAAUGCAUGCAUGUUUCAUUGAAUUUAAACGAGAAAGGGGCCAUUUAAGCCAGAAAGUCAAGUUAUGGAAGAUACAAAAUCUUUGUUCUCCAUCAUCAUCCUCAUCAUUUCACCAUGUUGUUGCUCGCCAUUGGUGCUUAUAACAUAGUCACGGCCGUCAGAUUCUUGUUCUUUUCUUAGCACUUGACCCCUCGUUGUCUUUGACUUGGCAUUGGCGAAUAGCCAUGUGGCGUCCAUCUGUUUGCUGAUCAUACGAGCCGCGUAGUAUGGGAUCUUCACGCGCUUUGUAUGGCCCGACUUGACGCAACCGUUGAUGAACAUCAUGCAGUCCAUCAAGCUUUCUUUGGCCAACCCUUUCAUGUCAUAAGCUUGUGAUCUUCUCCAAAGACUUUUACUGUGGGAAUUUGCAGGCAUGGAGAGGCAAAGAGCUCGAGUUGAGUCGCUAAUGGCAGAGUCCGCGUCUCUAAGCAGCAAAUGACACUGAGCUCUAUUACUAUGUAGCACCAUUCUCUCUUUUCUUAGCUUUAACGGGCACAACUCUAAUGCUUCAGAAUAUUUACCUGCAGCUUCUUCAAUCUCCCCUAACCAAAACAUAUGGUUUGCUUGUUGUUUUAUCAGACCUACUAUAACCCUUCUCUCUUCAACUUUUUCUUCACUCAUUAGUUUCUCCUUCUUCCUCCUCUCUACUUUCAAAAUCCAUAACUCUUGCAAAGCUUUUUGAACUUCCUGGUUUUUGAACUUGCAUUUUUUGUGAUCUAAAAGUAGCAGCUUUGUGAUUGCUUCACCUAUGUUUGAUCUAUCUCCAAGGCUUCCUAGUUCAACCAAAUCCAUAAGAAAAAAGAAAAUUACCUCAAAAACUUUGUACCUUGUGCAAUGAUCUUUGAGAAGUAACAAAAGACAGUCGAUGCCCAUAUACUGCCAAUCAUCCGAAGACCUCGAGAGAUUACAGAGAGUCUCUAUAAUCUCUUUUGAUUCAGCAAUGCUUUUUCUUCCAUCUUUACUGUAACACAAGAUUCUAAUAAGGCCAAACCCAGCAGGUGACGUGUGAUUCACCAAUCCUCCCCACAUGUCACAUAAAUUUCUCAAGAAAUCUUGCCUACAAAUGAGAUUCAAACACCUUUCUUUGCAAGCAAAGCAAUUUAAAAGAUAAAGAGACCAACACUGGAGUUGGCUAGCCCAUUCCUCAGCCUUCCGGUCCUCCAUCUCCGAAUCCCCAACACCUCUAGUCAGUAAAUCACAAUGAUACUUCAAUUUCUUAUCUAUGUUCUUCACUCCUACAAAGUUAACGUAUACAACUUCCAGACAGGUAGAAGCGAGUGUCGUGGCUAAAUUAACAACCUCUUCUUCAUACACCGCCACCGAUUGAAACGUUUUCUCGUAGCUAGCGAGGUGUCCGAGAGCUCGAACCGCAACCCUUUGCUCAACCCAGCUGAUCUUUCCUCUGAAGAGCUCCAUUAAUGGCGGUAUGACACCCGAUUGGACGGCCAUUUCUGCGAACUCCACCUUGUUCAUAGUGUAAGAGCCAAUCACAUGAGCAGCAUAGUAGGGUAUAUAUAUGUUUUGGCCCCUCAAAAGCCAGUUUCUAUCAUUAAUACCCUUGUUGAUUAAGUUUGCCAUGCAGUUGAAGAUGCCGAGAGACGGGAACUUUGGAUCAUCAGGGUGAGUCAUGGCGAUAUGCCAUAGACCGCUGAGCACCAAGACAUGUUCUUGGUUUUCUGUUAGGGGCAUUUCCUUGAAACAGUUUUCCAUUCCCGCUCUCCUGAGUGACGAUUCUGGCUCUUCCAUGCUGCAAAAGAAACAAGAUGGAUUGGUGCAAGUCUUGUUUUUCUUCAGUGAAUGAGAAUCCAUGGUAUUGAACAAGAUUGAGUUUAGUGUAUUGGAUUUGAUCAGUUUUAGGCUAUAUGUGUAGUAAAAAGAUUCAGCAGAGAAAGGAAAGUAUUGGAAAGUAAGUGGAGUGCUGCCCGUGUACUGGUGUAGUUACACCUAGUAGCCGACGAAAAAGUAGGGUUUUAUAAUCUAAAACUUUUGACGCAACUUCCAUAUUUGAAAUUGUUCCUUAUUUUAGAGAUAGGUUUAGGCCUCACAAUUCUGCUCUUCUGGUAGGGGAUGAAAGGGUGAAUUAUUCCACUUCUGA